rnacentral:tRNA from 1 species
GUGGCUCAGUGGUAGAGCACGUGCCUAGGAUGUGCGAGGCACUGGGUUCAAUUCUCAGC